CCUACGGGAGGCAGCAGUGAGGAAUAUUGGUCAAUGGCCGUAAGGCUGAACCAGCCAAGUCGCGUGAAGGAAGAAGGAUCUAUGGUUUGUAACCUUCUUUUAUAGGGGAAUAAAGGUAUCCACGUGUGGAUAUUUGCAUGUACCCUAUGAAUAAGCAUCGGCUAACUCCGUGCCAGCCGCCGCGGUAAUACGGAGGAUGCGAGCUUUAUCCGGAUUUAUUGGGGUUAAGGGGUGCGUAGGUUGUUUUUUGAGUCAGGGGUGAGAGUUUGUGGCUCAACCAUAAAAGUGCCGUGGAAACUGGGAGAAUUGAGUGUGUGUGAGGUAGGCGGAAGGCGUGGUGUAGCGGG
rnacentral:rRNA from 1 species